rnacentral:rRNA from 1 species
UACAGAGGUCUCAAGCGUUGUUCGGAUUCAUUGGGCGUAAAGGGUGUGUAGGUGGCGCCGUAAGUCGGGUGUGAAAUUUCGGAGCUUAACUCCGAAACUGCAUUCGAUACUGCGGUGCUUGAGGACUGGAGAGGAGACUGGAAUUUACGGUGUAGCGGUGAAAUGCGUAGAUAUCGUAAGGAAGACCAGUGGCGAAGGCGGGUCUCUGGACAGUUCCUGACGCUGAGGCACGAAGGCCAGGGGAGCAAACGGGG